rnacentral:misc_RNA from 1 species
UUUUACUUCUUUGCUAAGUUAUAAACUGCUUCUGGUUGCCCAAAUUUGAGUGAAAAUUGAAAGGAAAAAGUACUAUUUUGGGGAAGGUAAGUUGCGCUUAUUUAGCUAGUAAAGGGAAAAUUAAUUUAUCUGAUUGACAUGAAAAUAAUGGAACAUAUGGUGGUGACAAAAGAUUUGACAGCAGUGAUGGUUUUUAUUGUUUUGUUACUUGUGAAAAAGACAAUCAAUGAUGGUAGCAUACGAGUACAUCCAAAGGGAUUAACUACCAAAAUAAAAAAAUCCAUACUUAUGUUCAAGUUUACAAUUAUGCCUGUUCUCUUAAUUUUGACAUCUAUAUACAAAACCUUCCUAUUGGUAUCAAUUAUAGGCGAAUUGGACCAAAAGAAAAAGUGUGCUAAAAACUCUCAAAUUGAUGACAUGGCAUAUUUUUAUCCAUGAAAAUUUCACAUAAGCAUAUUCUAAAGAAAGCCCUUUCUGCAGGUUGAGGGCUUACCUCUUG